AGAAGCAUUAAAUACAAGAAUUAACAUAGAAUGUACUUUUGUGUAAUCUAAUAUAUGAUGGCAAGAAUCGUACUGCGCAGAAUCACCUAAGAAGAGGUCAAGAAGCGGACAAGUGAGGAAGACUAUGGAAGACCACCAGAGGGCUUCUGAAGACCGCCAGAGACCUCCAAUGGGCUUGCAUAAAGGACAUUUACAUAUGUUAAUAGUUUCUCAGAAAACUAAUGAUUAUGUAUAACAUUUCUCGGAAAUCUAGUGA